rnacentral:rRNA from 1 species
AUGCCUUUGUCUUCUUUUAUUGAGAAUAAUAAUGAAUCUAUGGAUGUGAAUUUUGUUGGUAGGAAUAGUUUUGGAAACAAUGCUUAUAGAGGAAACUUUAAUGCUAGACCGUUCCCUAGUAAUUCCUCUAAUAAUUAUGGAAAUUCCUACAAUAAUACUUAUGGUAAUUUCAAUAAGAUGCCCUCUGAUUUUGAGAAUAGUGUGAAAGAUUUUAUGAUUUCUCAAAAGAAUUUUAAUGCUUUGCUUGAAGAAAAAUUGCUCAAAGUUGAUGAUUUGGCUAGGAACGUUGAUAGACUUUCGCUUGAUGUUGAUUCUCUUAAACUUAGAUCUUCUCCUCAUAAGCAUGAUAUCAAUGAGUCUCUCAAAGUAAUGAGAAUUUCCAUUGAUAAGUGUAAGGAAAGAACCGCUAGAUUGUGUGCUAAGAAAGAUAGCUUUAUAAAAGCGUGUUCUUCUAGUUUCCAUGAAAAUAAUGAUGAAGAUCUUAAAGUUAUUGAUGCGUCUCAUAUUAGAUCUAUGUUUUGCAAUAUGAAUUUUGAUGAUUAUGGGACUGAUGAUGAAUCAACUUUGCCUAGAAGGCGUCCCAAGAAUUCAGAGUCUUUAGAUCUUGAUGCUAAAUUUGGUAAAAGUGAGAUUGGAGAGGUCACAACUUCAAAUAACAUUGAACCUACUUCCUCGGAUUUCAAGGAAUUUGAUUAUGAUAAUUGUUCUUUAAAAGAUUGUAUUUCCUUGUUCCAAUCUGUUGUCAAUUCUCCUCAUGCUUAUAGUCAAAAUAAAGCUUUUACCAAACAUAUCGUUGAUGCUUUUUUGCAAUCUUAUGAUGAAAAACUUAAUUUGGAAGUUUCUAUACCUAGAAAACUUAAUGAUGAGUGGGAACCUACUAUAAAGAUUAGAAUUCAAGAUUAUGAGUGUUUUGCUUUGUGUGAUUUGGGUACUAGUGUUUCCACAAUUCCGAAAACUUUAUGUGAUAUUCUAGGUUUCCAUGAUCUUGAUGAUUGCUCGUUAAAUUUGCACCUUGCGGAUUCCACCAUUAAAAAGCCAAUGGGAAGGAUCAAUGAUGUUCUCAUUGUUGCAAAUAGAAAUUUGGUUCCCGUAUAUUUUAUCGUUCUUGAUAUAGAUUGCAAUCUUUCUUGCCCUAUUAUUCUUGGUAGACCUUUCCUUAGAACGAUUGGCGCGAUUAUUGAUAUGAAGGAAGGGAAUAUUAGAUUCCAAUUUCCAUUAAAGAAAUGCAUGGAGCACUUUCCAAGAAAGAAAGUCAAAUUACCUUAUGAAUCUAUCAUGUGA